rnacentral:lncRNA from 1 species
AAAUCCAGCAAGGGGCACUCUCCAUCAAGAGAUAACCACAACCAUUCCUGCUGGAUUUCUGGCAGCUCUAAUGGCCCCACAAACAGACUGGCAGCAGAUUCCCAGGGAAUGGAAAUCCAGCAAGGGAUACUCCCCAUCGGCCAUUGCUUCUGGAUUUUUGGGAGCACUGACAGCCCCAAAACCAGCAGGGAGGGACCAGGAGAAUUCCCAGCAGCAGAUUCCCAGGGAAUGGAAAUCCAGCAAGGGAUACUCCCCAUCUCCUGGAUUUUUGGGAGCACUGACAGCCCCACAAAUAGCAGGGAGCAGGACAAUGCCCAGCAGAGACUUCCAAGGGAUGUUCUCCAUCCACCAGAGAUAACAACCAUAACCAUUUCUCAUGGAUUUUUGGGACGAUUGGCAGCCCCUAAACCAGCAGGGAGCAGGAGAAUUCCCAGCAGAGACCCCCAGGGAAUGGAAAUCCAGCAAGGGAUACUCCCCAUCAACCACUCUCCUGGAUUUUUGGGAGCAGUGAUGGCCCCACAAACACACCAGCAGCAGAGUCCCAGGGAAUGGAAAUCCCGGCAAGGAAUGCUCCCCAUCAACCAGAGAUAGUAACCAUAACCAUAACCAUAACCAUUCCUCCUGGAUUUUUGGGAGCACUGACAGCCCCUAAACCAUCAGGGACCAGGAGAAUUCCCAAGGAAUGGAAAUCCGGCAAGGAAUACUCCCCCCAUCAACCAUUCUUGCUGGAUUUUUGGGAGAAGUGAUGACCCCAAAAACAGCAGGGACCAAGAGAAUUCCCAAGGAAUGGAAAUCCAGCAAGGGAUACACCCCAUCAACCAUUCCUCCUGGAUUUUUGGGAGCACUGACAGCCCCUAAACCAGCAGGGACCAGGAAAAUUCCCAGGGAAUGGAAAUCCAGCAAGGAAUACUCCCCCCCAUCAACCAGUCCUCCUGGAUUUUUGGGAGCACUGACAGCCCCACAAAUAGCAGGGAGCAGGAGAAUUCCCAACAGAGAUUCCCAGGGAAUGGAAAUCCAGCAAGGAAUGUUCUCCAUCCACCAGAGAUAAUAACCAUAAGCAUUUCUCCUGGAUUUUUGGGACGAUUGGCAGCCCCUAAACCAGCAGGGACCAGGAGAAUUCCCAAGGAAUGGAAAUCCAGCAAGGAAUACUCCCCCCAUCAACCAUUCCUCCUGGAUUUUUGGGAGCAGUGAUGGCCCCAAAAACAGCAGGGACCAAGAGAAUUCCCAGAGAAUGGAAAUCCAGCAAGGGAUACUCCCCAUCAACCACUCUCCUGGAUUUUUGGGAACACUGACAGCCCCAAAAACAGCAGCGAGCAGGAGAAUUCCCAACAGAGAUUCCCAGGGAAUGGAAAUCCAGCAAGGGAUGUUCUCCAUCCACCAGAAAUAAUCAUAACCAUUUCUCAUGGAUUUUUGGGACGAUUGGCAGCCCCAAAACCAGCAGGGAGCAGGAGAAUUCCCAACAGAGAUUCCCAGGAAAUGGAAAUCCAGCAAGGGAUACCCCCCAUCAACCAUUCCUCCUGGAUUUUUGGGAGCAGUGAUGGCCCCAAAAACAGCAGGGAUCAGGAGAAUUCCCAGAGAAUGGAAAUCCAGC